CAGGGACCUCGGCAGGGCGUGCACAGACCCGCCCGUCCGCAGCGGACUCUCCUUUCGAUUUUUAUCUUCCUGCUCCUCCAUCUUCCCCUCUUUGCUUGUAUCACUUACAAUUCUGACUGUGUUUUCAGAAUGAAACAGAAUGUAAGCAAGAAUGCAGAUCUGAUGAUUGGUGCUUUAUUCCCCCUUUUUACUUUGGCCAUACAAAGAGGAACCAAUGACCCUGACAAGAAUUUUAUUCGUAUGCACAUGAAAUAUUGAAGACAAAUGUCAUUUGGGACAAACUUCUACGGCCAUGGAGCACAGGUAUAAAUAUUUCUCAAAAUCUGAUGGGGACUUGGGCCCAUGUUGUGCUUUCCCACAUAUAUUUCAAGAAGAG
rnacentral:lncRNA from 1 species